CUUCCCAUUUGGUUCCAUGACCUCUCUUCAAGACUUUAUUACUUUAAUUUAUCUCAUAACCAAAUGCAUGGAGAGAUUCCAUAUUUGUCCAUUGAUGAUUCUGAUUACUCAUUCAUAGACUUGAGUUCAAAUAAAUUCGAUGGUCAAUUGCCUUAUAUUACUUCCCAUCCUGCUUGGAUAGAUCUUUCCAAUAAUUUAUUCUCCGGGUCAAUAUCCAUCUUUCUAUGUGAUAGAGUGCAUGAGCUGAAGGC
rnacentral:misc_RNA from 1 species